CUAACGUGUGUUGAGAGAGUUAAGACACGCAGAGCUCAGGACACUAAAGGCUUUGUAAGGUGGGGGAUGGGGUGGCAUCAAGGCCGCCUUCCUGGAGGAGGAGCUGGAGACCCAACAGUGGGAACAGGCUGGGCUGGAUGGCAUUGGAAGGAAGGAGGGUUUCCGUGAGCAAAGAUCUGGGACCAUCCCAGUGCCCCACUCCUCACCCCCCUCCUCAUCUGCAUCCUGUCCUUCCUCUGCCCCAGGUCACUGACUUCCUAGAGGAGCUCCUCACAUACAAGUUCCUGGCCAGGCAGUAUGACCUGGAGCCCAAGGAGCACUUCCUGUCCUUUUUCCGGACAGUGAAGCUCCUGCGUGAGGACCAGAGCUACGGCCUGUCCUACCAUCUGGAGCCCCCAGGUCAGAGGGCAGGCAGAAAAGGACUGUUACAGUUCUUCAGGUCCCGCAAGAGUUAAACUUAUGGGCCAGGGCCAGCUGCUGUCAUCGGGCGCUCGGCCCUGCUGGUGUCCUGGCUGCAUGUGGAGGAGACCUUCUUCCCCUUCGGGCAGGCGGCACCCGGCGCCCCAGGGCCCCAGUCUGCCUGCUGCUCCUCCUCCUCCCGCUGCUCAUCCGG